GCUGGCACUGAUUGGGUCACACCUGAAACUUAUGACCUUCCAGAUGAACACAGUACUGGGACUUGCCCAAGACCCACAGCCACUACUUCCUGCCUGCCUGCUGCUGCUGUUUAUUCAAGACCAAAGAAGGGCACUUUAGAUCAAUAAAUGUCCACAGGACAAAAGCAGUGCCAACUGUGGGGCUCACCUUCCUGGAUUCCUGUCUUCUUCCUAGAUCUUGGUCCGAUGAAUUAUGUAUCUGAAAUGGCUGGCAACCUCAGCUGCAGGACACUUUGAGGAGACGGCUGAUUGCAGAUCUAGGGCAGAGAAUGAAUAAGGUCAUUCUUCCUGCUUUGAUCAAGCAAUCAUCAUGUCCCUUUAGACACACCCAGGAUUAAUACUUUGUAUCCCUCAAUCCAAUCAAGUUGACAGUCAGUAUUAACCAUCGCAGGAGGAGAGCAUGAGCUACCUUCCAGACCUGCUUCUCCAAGAACACAGUGAACUUGGCCCGGCAGAGCUGUGGUUUGUGUCCACCCCCAUAGCUUAUGUCCUUUGAUGUUCCGCCUGACUAAUGGCCUGUCCAUUCUCCUUCAGGACACAUAAGGUGAUGUCUUCCUGUUCUUCCUAAUGGCAUUUUUGGCCCACUACUAUGAAAAAAGAUCACAUUAAUACAUAAACUGCCCCAUGGAACAGAUUCUAACUUGGAGAUAUGAUUUAAAAGCUCUAUAUAACCCUCAAAUAUCUUUAAGAAAGGUCACUUAAAUUCCUACUGAGAUUUUUUUCAGUGGUCUUCCAGAAAAAAAGAAAAAUUAAUUUUUACCUGGAAGCAGUAGUGCAUUGGCGUAGUUUAUUAGAGCUGUUUAGCCCACUAUCAUGAAAAAACUUAUUUGAUCAUCAUUUUCUUAUCUAGCAUAUCAGAGGUCCUUGAGGAAAUUGGAAACGGGCAGGUAGGAAAUCGGAUGGGGUGAUGUAAGGAUGAAACUGAUUGUGCAUUAGGGUUUUAUUCUACUCUGGAUAGAGAAGGUUGCUGAAGAAACUCAUGAAAUCUUUAUGAGCGUGUGUGUAUGUGUCUCCAAGCACAGGGAGGUACUGAAGACUCAUGAAUAAUAGAACUGGAGCUAAAAGAAGGUAUUACAUGCGAAAAAUAUAUGGAUUAAGGGCAUUAGACACAAACAUCUGCCUGCUUCACAAUACUGUCCAGGGUUGGCCUGAAGGGUAAGAAGCAGGCCUGCCUCUAACAUUUGUGGGGCUGAGUAAGGAUCACAUUAAUGCCCUAAUUACAUAUAUCUAAAUAUUUAAAAGGUAUACAUUAAACCAAUGAACUAUUAAGUAAAAUCUGUUUCUUUCUUUUUU